UGUACAGUGUGUGACAUAAGAACAGGCUCAAUCAAACCGAGCCUGCAACAUUUUCGUUUUUGUCGUGUUGAGCGACCUGUGAAAUUUCCACAUUCUCUAUUUUACCAGUGUUUAACUAAUAUCAUCCGGCGACUAUCGUAGCUGAGUGCUUAAUAAACCUAAUUAAAGGGAUUGCAAAAAGUGAUCUGUUUCCUUGAGUGCCUUUGGUUUAUAUGAAUAUAAAUCGGAAUAGUAAAACUUUCUUCGGUGUUUAAUGAGUCCAAAUGAACUGUUAAGAGGUGUAGUGAUUAAACCAAGAUGCACGAAAUAACGGAAAACAACUACCAAUUUAAUCAUCAAGAUCGCUCUUUGACCAACUGAAAGAAAAUAAUGCGUUCGUCAAUAACUCGUGGAGAGCACACAAGAGGAUAAUUUGACUUCUUCAUCAUCAGCCCGAGAGAAGUAACUUUAGAUAGAUUAUGUCCACUUCCAUCUCUGCUUGCAAUUGUCACUGAUUGAAAUGACACAAAUGGAGUGUUCAGUUAUGUCGGAUUUAGAAAUGGUGGCUGCAGGGACACCUUAAACGCAUCGUUAUGGCCGAGGUCGUUGUUUUACACUUGGUCAAAGACUAGGAAUACCCAAAGCUUGUUCUCUGAUCAGGUUCAAGAUGCCGAUGCAGAAAUGAUGACACUAUUGUUCUUCACGCCAAAUGAUGGAGUAGGCUCAUAUGGGACACAGACAGAUAACUAGUUUCCAAUGAUGUAUUGAACUGAUUCACAUGAUAAGGAUGGUUAUAUUGUUUUCUUAAAUCCUUAUUUGCAUGAGCGACGCUAACAAACAUUGUACUUACAGAAACGAAUAUAUUCAUUUUAUAUUGCCUUAUUACUGCAUUAUUAUCCUAGUAGUGCUAAGGAAUGGAUAAAUAUUGUAUUCUCUUUUUUUCCUGAUUUGUCAGAAUUGAAAUAUUCUGUAUUUGGUAAGAAUAUACUUUAGAAAUAUUUAUUUUAUUGUUUAACGAAAUAUUUAAUGGUGUUUUUGAAGGAUAUUUUACAUUACUCAAAUACUUUAUUUUUCGUCUAAUAAAUAGUUUUAUUCAUACACCAUGAUACUGAUUUUAAAACUAUUGACGUUAUUGUGUCAGGUCAUUUUUACACUUGAUAUUCGAAACUGCACAUUAUGGAAUGGAUACUUUUAUCUUCCGAUAGCA
rnacentral:lncRNA from 1 species